GUGUCUGUGGUGUUUGUUCUGGUCUGGUGUCUCCAGAUGAUGGUUCUGUUCGGUCUGUUAGGAGGUUUUCACAUCUACAUGAGACACACGUCAGGAAAGAAACAGAAGGAUCAGAAAGUGAGAAUGAGAAGAUUUAGAGAGCGACAUGAACACACAGCAGAAGAUUCAUGAGAGCAGCAGCAGAUCUUCACAUCUGUGAGAAAUGAGUUCAGAAUCAGUCCAGCUUUCACCUGUCAACAACAGAUCUUAUAUAAAACCAAGAGAUUCAUUAAACCAGGAGAUAUGAAUUAACCAGAUUUUCUACAGUUUUAGUUAUGAAGAUUAUUUUCUGGACAGCUGUGUUUUGUAAUAGUUUUAUUGCUUAUUUUAUUCAUUUGUCUUUCCUCUUUGAAUGAACUAGCAGUAUUUUUAUGUCAUUAUAUGAAACUCCUUCUGUUCAUCUGUGAUCAAACUCUUUUAUUUCUCUGAAUCAGAUCUGUCAGAUCGUGAACUCAUUCUGUGUGUUUAUUUUCACAUUUCUGCUCUUGCUCUUUUACUUUAUUCUUGAUUUGGUUGAUUUCUCUUUAUUUUCAGUGUCUGUUUAGAUGUUUUAUCUGUUUGAAGCUCUUCAUCCGUGUCUCAGUUUUGCAGCGUCUGGUGUUUUCUGACUGUGGUUUUGCUUGAAUUUGCAUUUUUACAUGACUUUUAACAAGUUUAACCACAUUUGUGCAUUUUUCUUCACAAGAUAUGUGUGUCAUUUUAGAAUAUUGAUAAGCCGUUCUUUAGAAAUUGUAAUGGGCUCAUUGCUGAAUUUGUUAUGCUUAACUUUUUUGAGGUAAAUGGAAAUAAAACACUUUGAAGUUAAAAAGUAUUUCAAGUCAAAAGUCACAAGCUAAUUAAAUUUUUAAAAAAAUUUAAUACAGUCCAUUUUCAUUUGAUCUAACAGAAUGAUUCCACGUUUGUUAUUUAUUUUAGACUAUUCAUGGUAAAUUCUAGAUUGACUGUAGGUCAAAACUUAUACAACAACAUUAG
ensembl:lncRNA